GGGGGGGGGGGGGGGGGGGGGGGGGGGGGGGGGGGGGGGGGGGGGGGGGGGGGGCGGGGGCCUCUGGCGGUAGCGGCGGACGGGGGAGUAACACGUGGAUAACCUACCUAUAAGACUGGGAUAACUUCGGGAAACCGGAGCUAAUACCGGAUAAUAUAUUGAACCGCAUGGUUCAAUAGUGAAAGGCGGUUUUGCUGUCACUUAUAGAUGGAUCCGCGCCGCAUUAGCUAGUUGGUAAGGUAACGGCUUAACAAGGCAACGAUGCGUAGCCGACCUGAGAGGGUGAUCGGCCACACUGGAACUGAGACACGGUCCAGACUCCUACGGGAGGCAGCAGUAGGGAAGCUUCCGCAAUGGGCGAAAGCCUGACGGAGCAACGCCGCGUGAGUGAUGAAGGUCUUCGGAUCGUAAAACUCUGUUAUUAGGGAAGAACAAAUGUGUAAGUAACUAUGCACGUCUUGACGGUACCUAAUCAGAAAGCCACGGCUAACUACGU
rnacentral:rRNA from 1 species